AAGCCUGUGCUCCAUUUCCUGGGCUUUUCAUUUCUCCUGAUCACUAUGGCAGCUGGGCAGUGAGGCAGCAAGGCAAUCGCUAAUAAUCUCUGCUGAGACUUCUCAGCCUGGGUUUCUCACUGACUGGAAUCUUUCAUUCUGUUUUUUUUAGAUUGCCUGCCAGGAUGUUCUGGGUGUCAGCAGAGAGAGCUCCUUCAAUUCACACAAAUAUUCUCCAUUUAGCAUCAAGUAUUUCUCUACAGGAGGAAGACAACUAGGGAAAUAACACGACAAAACAGAAGGCAAAAUAUGAUCAGCGUCUCCCUUCUCAGAUGUGAGCCUUCGCACAGUUAAAUCUUCAAACAACACGGAGAAAAGCAGAACAUUCUCGCUGUUGGAGGGGAGCAAGAGCGUGGUCUCUCCAGUGCCGAAUGCAGGGAGACAUUCACUGCCGCGACCCUGCUGCCACACCAUGGUGUCGACGGAAGGAGACCAGGACAUCAGGUUGAUCAUCACAGGUCUGAUUUUAUUGAUCAGCACAGCGGGUUAAAUACAGUUCGUAAUUAACUUCAUGCAUAUUGCAAAAGUUGAGCUCAGGAUUGGUUAGUUACAUAUCAGCAGUUA
ensembl:lncRNA